rnacentral:rRNA from 1 species
AUUGAACGCUAGCGGGAUGCUUUACACAUGCAAGUCGAACGAGUGGCGGACGGGUGAGUAAUAUAUCGGAACGUGCCCAAUCUCGGGGGAUAACUACUCGAAACAGUGGCUAAUACCGCAUACUAUUGUAGCGGCCGAUAUCGGAUUAGCUAGUUGGUGGGGUAAAGGCUCACAAAGGCAACGAUGCGUAGCUGGUUUGAGAGGACGACCAGCAACACUGGGACUGAGACACGGCCCAGCCUCCUACGGGAGGCAGCAGUGGGGAAUUUUUGAAAAUGGGGGAAACCCUGAUCCAGCAAUCCCGCGGGUAUGAGAAGGCCUUCGGGUUGUAAAGUACUUUCAGUCGGGAGGCGUUACCGACAGAAGAAGCACCGGCUAACUCCGUGCCAGCAGCCGCGGUAAUUC